rnacentral:misc_RNA from 1 species
GGGGUGUGGUGCGUUGAUGUGUGGUGGGGGUGGUGAACGUCAUACCUGCACUGCACCAAACAUGCUUAUUUUAACUACUAGAAAUUCAAACCUUAAAAUGGACAAUGCAAGUCAAGCCCCCAACAAUAUCAUUCUGCAUUACUGUUAUUGGUAUCUAUUGCAGUACUAUGUUUUAUAUGAAGUGCUACUAUAUUGUGUAUGUGCUAGACUGCUGCUUUUGUCUAGGUUAUUUUUAUUGUGUUUAAUGGGGCAGUAUUUUGUUGCAG